rnacentral:rRNA from 1 species
GACGAACCGUGCGAACGUUGUUCGGAAUUACUGGGCGUAAAGCGCGCGUAGGCGGACCUGCAAGUCGGGGGUGAAAGCCCGAGGCUCAACCUCGGAACUGCCUUCGAUACUGCGGGUCUCGAGUCCGGGAGAGGUGAGUGGAAUUCCUAGUGUAGAGGUGAAAUUCGUAGAUAUUAGGAAGAACACCAGUGGCGAAGGCGGCUCACUGGCCCGGUACUGACGCUGAGGCGCGAAAGCGUGGGGAGCAAACAGG